AAAGUGAUUAGGACAUUUACCAUAACAAGUUUGAUUUUGUUGAUACAUAGACAGAUAAGGUAACUAUCAAUAUGUUCUUACCUUUAAUAGUAUCUGUCAUAUGCAAAAACUUUCCACUGCUAAAGUUUUUAGUUCCAUAGUACACAGCCGUGACUAAUCCAAUACUAACUACAGACGUAAUCAAAAUACAUCGAAAUUUCCAUCCUUCAAUGACAUUUUUAAAAGUAUUUCGGUGUUGUUGAGGAUACAAAUGUUCUUGGUCUGGUCGUUGAGAGAUUUCAAAUUUUAAAAUACCUCCGCUGAAAACUGGUUUGAUAUGCGUUCCCAUUGCAUAGAUUAAGAACGAAAGUAUAUUAAACAGCCCCAAUUGAUGACAUGCUAGCUCUGACUCUACAGAAAUAGCUUUGUUCCACAAUAAUAUAUAAUAUAUAAAU
rnacentral:lncRNA from 1 species